rnacentral:lncRNA from 1 species
AAACACCAUUAUUUCAUUAUCAAAAAUGAAAGUUGCUUUCAAACCUUGGUUUAUUGGCUUCGUUAUGCUUGCAAUUCUUCUGUUUAGUUUGUAUUUACAUUUACAGCUUUAUUAAUGUAUUUUAUAAUCAUUCAAAAAUAAAUUUUAUUUGAUGCCAUUUAUUUUAUAUACCUACAUAGGUUAUAUAUUUAAUUUUAUAUUAUUGAGUUUAAUGAUUUUCCAAGAAUAAUCAGUGAUAAACAAAAGAUGAAUAAACUUUCAGUUUAAAAAAAAAUGCAGAAUACUCCUUAAACAUAUGUUUUACGAGAAAUGAUUUUUUUUUACUUUAAAUAUGAAAAAUAAAAGUUAUGUUUUAAUUAUUAAUGACAGGAGAAACGGCUAUUGCUCGGAAAGCAAAAAAUAGUAGAUGGUGUUGGGCAAUUUUAACACAUUUACCAUCACGAGAACAUCCCAACCCUCCAAGAUGUUAUCCCGAUAGCUGUAAAGCCUUAUGUUUGACAAAGAAAAACCUACAGAUAAGUCGUUGCGUUAAUAAAUUUUGGGGAUGCGAGUGUGAGCAUGACUGCUGAUUUUUUAUCUACAUUAAAACUCGAAUAAUAUUUAUAAUAAUACUAUGUAUUUGUCAUAAAUAAAUAUAAAUAACAAAUAUUGAUACAUGUAUCUUCAUCUCCUUUUCUUCUUGUACAAUUGUAAAAAUUAACAAAAAAAUAUAUUGGA